rnacentral:rRNA from 1 species
CUGGCUCAGGAUGAACGCUAGCGACAGGCUAACACAUGCAAGUCGAGGGGCAGCAUAAAAGUAGCAAUACUUGGUGGCGACCGGCGCACGGGUGAGUAACGCGUAUGCAACCUACCUAUCAGAGGGGAAUAACCCGGCGAAAGUCGGACUAAUACCGCAUAAAACAGGGGCACCGCAUGGUGAUAUUUGUUAAAGAAAUUCGCUGAUAGAUGGGCAUGCGUUCCAUUAGGUAGUUGGUGAGGUAACGGCUCACCAAGCCGACGAUGGAUAGGGGAACUGAGAGGUUGGUCCCCCACACUGGUACUGAGACACGGACCAGACUCCUACGGGAGGCAGCAGUGAGGAAUAUUGGUCAAUGGGCGGGAGCCUGAACCAGCCAAGUCGCGUGAAGGAAGAAGGAUCUAUGGUUCGUAAACUUCUUUUGCAGGGGAAUAAAGUGCAGGACGUGUCCUGUUUUGUAUGUACCCUGAGAAUAAGGAUCGGCUAACUCCGUGCCAGCCGCGGC